GAUGAACGCUGGCGGCGUGCUUAAUACAUGCAAGUCGAACGGAAAGGCUCCUGCUUGCUGGUGUGCUCGAGUGGCGAACGGGUGAGUAACACGUGGGUGACCUGCCCUGUACCUCGGGAUAAGUCUUGGAAACUGUGGCUAAUACCGCAUAGUACGAUGUGUUGGAUGCCAUUUUGUAAAGAGUUUCCGUUGUGGGAAGACCUGGGGGCCUAUCAGCUUGUUGGUGGGGUGAUGGGGUACCAAGGCGCCGGGGGGUAGCCGGCCUGAGAGGGUGUACGGCCCCAGUGGGACUGGGAUACGGGCCGGAGUGCUACGGGGGGCAGCGGUGGGAAAUAUUGCGCGAUAGGCGGAAGGCUGAUACAGCGUCGCCGGAUGGGAAAUGACGGCCGUCAGAGUAUAAAGUGCUUGCGAGAGGAACGAACAGAAAGUGACGGUACCUUAAGAAAAAGCACCGGCUAACUACGUG
rnacentral:rRNA from 1 species